UGCAGCCGUACUGCACUAUCUUUUUCUCUGCUUGAGCGGGCAUUUCUGCUCACCAAAGGACACGGAAAGAGGUGGGUGGCGAGGGAGACGGGACAGUUGGCGUCCAUACAACGCGGUUGGCCUUCUCGUUUCCACCACGUGUUGCGAGAGCGUGUGCGCUUUAGGUAGCUCCGCCGGCUGCGUCUACAUCUCCUCUGACGGUCUCCCUCUCUUACCCCAUUCUCUCUCUCUUUUUGUAGUAGCAGUAGCUUCACUUAGACUUUCCACUCUCUCCUUAGUCGUAGUUGUAGUUAUAGUUGUGCCACUCCGCUGUACUCCUGCGCCUCCACGCGACAUCCUCGCGCCUCCCUUGUUCUGCCGUUUUCUCCGUCGUUUCUGUUGUGCACCCGGUUUCAGGCGCAGUCGUCGCUGUGCAGAGAGGUCACCCACACCUAUACACACACUUGGGUGGAUGCACGUACGUGCAUACUAGGCCUUCUCUGACUUAUUUCUUGCUUCACUGCUCUUCUCGUUUUUGCGCGCGUCUGCUGUUCGCUCCUUGCUGCAGAACGGAGCGAAGCCCAAGUUGUAGGCGGCACUUCUCUUUGUUCUGUUCUACUUUUUCGUCGUCAUUGCAUCUCCUGCCAGGGCGUGCGUGUGCGUGUGUGGCGGAGUUGGGGACUUUUUAUUGUGCACAUCCCUUUCUCUUCCUCUGCAUUGGUCCGCUCUCUCUCACUCUCGCUCUGCACCGCCACCCUUUGAUAAGCCGUGGCGCCGAUACCGUCCAGCAUUCGUUGAAACAAGCGAAAAUGCUACGUCGCUGCCUUCUACUGCGUAGCGGCCAUGGCGACCUGUUCCCCACGAGCAAGGCGGCUGCUCACCUCACCCCCGCUUGGGUCGUGAACCGCGAGGUCCCGCACGCCCCUGGCAAGGGGCGUUGCUACGCUGACUUUACAACGCCUGAGCACCAUAGCAAGUUUCAGAUGAUCGUCCCCGAAACACAUGAGGUGAAGGUGAUCUCCACCCAUAACCCAUCCUCUGCGGAAGUGCACCACUGCACGACGAAGCGGCCCUCCGCCGCCUCUGUGGCGGCCACCGUCGCCGGGGUGAAGAGCGCCCUCGAUACGCAUCACCCCAAGACGAACGACACUCCAAUGGCGCGGGCGAACAUCGCGGCGAAGCUUGCCGCUGAGCAGCGCGCCAAGACGCGUGACUUCAUGGCGCACAAGCGCGGUCUGAUGAAGCGUAACCACAAGUACAUCCCGACAGUGGACUAUCCUUCUUCGCAGUUUUACAUCGAGGACCGGGCAAACAAGCUGCGCAAGAUCGAGAACGGCAACCCGAACGGGUACGUGCAGGAGCACAUGCCGUGGGAGACACCGUCACCCUCGCCGGCGCCUCCACAGAAGUAAAGACAAGCGGAUAGCCGACGCCGCAGAGCUCGGGCUGAUGGUGGUGGUGGUGAGGGCCGGGAUGUGAGAAACCGCAGGAGGAAGCGCAGCAGCAGAAACGAAGGAAAAGAGUAGGCUCUUCUCCACAUUCUCUCUUGCUUGGCUGACGUGUGUCUGUCGGUUUCAGAUGAGGAGGAGUGAGGGUGCUGUGGCGACUCUCCGUGUGUGUGUGUGCGGUGCUCGUGCUUCGCUGGCGUGUCCUCUUGCUCUCUCCGAUCUUUCUUGUUUUUUUUUUCUCGUGUUCAGCCACGCCAGCGCGGACGCGCAAACCGUCUGGUGCAUGAGGGUGGCGGACUGCCGAUCAAGUAGGUGCGCGUUACCGCGAAACAAC
rnacentral:misc_RNA from 1 species